AUCCUCAAAGGAAACCUGAACAACAACUUCAAAAGAUGAGCCUGAGAGUGUAAAUUGGUAUUUUGCUAGAUUCUAAAAAUAAUGGUCUUAAUAAAACACAGAAUUUUGGCUUAUUAAAAGAAUCUUUAACCCACUAGCUCUUUUUUGGGUUCUAUUUUUGUCUUUCAGGGAUGUUAAUGGUCCACUUUACCUUGAAUGGUAUAUGUGUUAACUACUUAUACUAAACAUUUUGUUCCACCUUGUAUUUAGGUGACAUUCUGAAGAAUGACCUGAAGAAGCUUGUGUCUUUCACCAACAGAAGUUGGUCCAAUAAGAGAGAUUACCUCACCCACCUUCUCUCAAGUAUUUAGAGACUUCCGGGGACUUGUGCUCCUAAAUCCCAUAGGUGCUUUUGAAAAUCUCCAGCCUUCUUUUGUCAAGGCCAGAGGACUAUCUCCACCUUGUGGCAGCUUUUCAGAACUGUCUGGUUUGCAAGCUUUAUAACUGAA